rnacentral:rRNA from 1 species
GAUGAACGCUGGCGGCGUGCCUAAUACAUGCAAGUCGAGCGAACAGACGAGGAGCUUGUUCCUCUGACGUUAGCGGCGGACGGGUGAGUAACACGUGGAUAACCUACCUAUAAGACUGGUAUAACUUCGGGAAACCGGAGCUAAUCCCGGAUAAUAUAUUGAACCGCAUGGUUCAAUAGUGAAUGACGGCGUUGCUGUAAGUUAUAGAUGCAUCCGCGCUGCAUUAGCUAGUUGGUAAGUUAACGGCUUAUCAAGGCAACGAUGCGUAACCGACCUGAGAGGGUGGUCGGCCACAUUGUAACUGAACCACGGACCAGACUACUACGGGAGGCAGCAGUAGGCAAUGUUCGGCAAUGGGCGAAAGCCUGACGGAACAACGCCGCGUGAGUGAUGAAAGUCUUGCGAUCGUGAAACUCUGUUUUUAGGGAAGAACAAAUGUGUAAGUACCUGUGCACGUCUUGACGGUACUUAAUCAGAAAGCCCCGGCUAACUACGUG